UUUUCCUACGGGAGGCAGCAGUAGGGAAUCUUCCACAAUGGGCGAAAGCCUGAUGGAGCAACGCCGCGUGGGUGAAGAAGGUCUUCGGAUCGUAAAACCCUGUUGUUAGAGAAGAAGGAUAGAGGUAGUAACUGGCCUUUAUUUGACGGUAAUUACUUAGAAAGUCACGGCUAACUACGUGCCAGCAGCCGCGGUAAUACGUAGGUGGCAAGCGUUGUCCGGAUUUAUUGGGCGUAAAGCGAGUGCAGGCGGUUCAAUAAGUCUGAUGUGAAAGCCUUCGGCUCAACCGGAGAAUUGCAUCAGAA
rnacentral:rRNA from 1 species